rnacentral:rRNA from 1 species
UACGUAGGUGGCAAGCGUUGUCCGGAAUUAUUGGGCGUAAAGCGCGCGCAGGCGGUCCUUUAAGUCUGAUGUGAAAGCCCACGGCUCAACCGUGGAGGGUCAUUGGAAACUGGGGGACUUGAGUACAGAAGAGGAAAGCGGAAUUCCACGUGUAGCGGUGAAAUGCGUAGAGAUGUGGAGGAACACCAGUGGCGAAGGCGGCUUUCUGGUCUGUAACUGACGCUGGAGGCGCGAAAGCGUGGGGGAGCAAACAGG